UACGUAGGGUCCGAGCGUUGUCCGGAAGUACUGGGCGUAAAGAGCGCGUAGGGGGUUUGUCGCGUUGUCCGUGAAAACUCACAGCUCAACUGUGGGCGUGCGGGCGAUACGGGCAGACUGGAGUACUGCAGGGGAGACUGGAAUUCCUGGUGUAGCGGUGGAAUGCGCAGAUAUCAGGAGGAACACCGGUGGCGAAGGCGGGUCUCUGGGCAGUAACUGACGCUGAGGAGCGAAAGCGUGGGGAGCGAACAGG
rnacentral:rRNA from 1 species